UACGUAGGCAGCAAGCGUUGUUCGGAAUUACUGGGCGUAAAGAGUGUGUAGGCGGUGUUCUAAGUCUGUCGUGAAAUCUCCCGGCUUAACUGGGAGGGUGCGGCGGAAACUGGAAUGCUAGAGGGUGGGAGAGGAAAGCGGAAUUCCUGGUGUAGCGGUGAAAUGCGUAGAUAUCAAGUGGAACACCAGUGGCGAAGGCGAGUCUCUGGACAUUUCCUGACGCUGAGGCACGAAAGCCAGGGGAGCAAACGGG
rnacentral:rRNA from 1 species